GAAGGUUGUUUGCCAUGAGCAGCAGCAAACAGUAACCCGGACCCAGGCUGAGCUCUGCCAGGAUCAUACAUGAAAUUCCUCGUUUCGUUCUCAAGUGAAGGGAGGGGUGAAAAAUCCAUUUCCCCGAAAUCCAGAGGAGUGAGAAAUCCUGCCCAAGACCACACCCUGUAAGAGGGAUUUGGCCCCAGAAGGCUGGCACGAGGGCUCAAGCCGUGAAUAUCCAUACCAUGCUGCCUCUGUGUGACCACAGAGGAGGGGACUUGGAAACAGGCUCUUUGAAGGAUGGGCUGAGGUUAACCGUGCAGGGGUCGGGGGCAGGGGCUGCUGCUGGGUAGAGGGCCUAUCAUGAGGCGAAGUUCAGGGUCAGCCGGGGAUGCUAAAGAAUCAUCAGAAUUGACCUUGAGAGCCUCCUGCAAGGCUCUGGCCUCUCUCUCCCUGCCCAUCAGAAGAGAUCGGGAAUCCCUAUUAUGGUAUCAGCUACAUCAGGACAGUUCAGAGGCUUUGCAGGCGUCCCUCAGCACACCCCUCGAUGGGUUCCACCCUGCCCCUCCCCAACUACUGCACCCAGGCAAGGCCCCAGUUCCAGUGGCGUUGCCCAUUGGGCACGGGUUGUGUCACUUCUUCCCUUCACGCUAGCUCAGCAGGAAUGAGUGAGUAAACACUGCUCCUUUCUGUGUGGCAGGGAGGGUGUACGCAUAGGUCGGGGCCGGCGGUGGUGUGAGUGCGUGUUGCGCGUGUGACAAGCUGGAGAUUGUGUGUAGGCACGUGCUCCCUCGUGCUGGUCCUGGCGGUGGCGUGUGUCCUCACGUAUGCCCGAGCUGGAGGUCAGGGGGCUGAAGGGCAGGAGGACAUCGGUAUAUGACUUGAGGGUUCCCAGGCCGCCUCUCGCCAAGUGGUUUCCUCUGAAGCUCAGAAUCAGCCCACACGGCCUGGGACGGAAAAUACCAGCGUCAGCAGCCGGUCCCUGACUCAUUCCGAAAGCCCGCAGUCCUGCCGCCGACAGAUGGCCCAGAGCCUCCGGCCUGCGCCCCUCAGCUUCCAGGUGGUGCCUCUGAAGACCCGUUUCCUUGCCCACAGCUCGGAGGCCCGUGGAAACCCUUUACCACCGCCAUCCCCUGACUCCCUCCGUCUGGCUUGUUCUUCUGCCCAGAACACAGCUCAGCCUUCCACCUUUGCCCUCGGUGUUCAAAAUCUCCCCAACCAGAGCCUUCCCAACUCGCCCCAGGAGGUCCUGGAGUGUCGCCGAAGUCCCACAGGUCCCAGCGGCCAUGUCUGCCCUGCUGUCCCUUUCUUUCUCUCCUACUCACGCUCCCUGUGGGGACCUGUCACCCCAGAGCCAGGGGCAUGUGACGCAGCAUCAGCUCUGCUGAGACAGGGCACUGGGACCGUGUCCAGCCGAGGAACCACCAAAAAGUGCACAUUUUCAUACCCCAGAAUGCGCACCCCAGACGCCUCACCCCGUCCAAGACCCUUCCCCUACCCUGUGGUGAGAGCCCGGGGGUGGGGGCUGGCACGUGGGGCAAGACAGGGGAAUAUUUGCAAGCAUGUCAGUCAGCAGGACAGGUGUCCAUCAUACAGUCAGACCAGGGCAUCCUGGUGCAUCGAAAGGCAGCUUCCAAAUGGCCACAUCGAAGGGCCCCAGGGUGCUGCCUCCUUCUGUGCUGGACGUUGUAUCCCAUAGGCUGGGGCUGCCCUGAGGCCACGCUGUAAUUUCACGGGUGGACCUUCUGCUGCCACGGAGAGAAUCAGUGCUGGUGCUUGGCUGGAAGGCACUGGAACCACCACGCUGGUGAUUUACAGGCAGCAAGCAGGCUGGAAAGCUGAUUCACUUGCCCUGCCUGUUGUGAAAUAUUCGCCCCUUGGGGUCGGGGAGGGAAUCCCUCCCACCCACUCCC